GUGGUCUGUGAUGACUGUUACCUCUUAUUGCCUGACUCCUUUCGAAAGGAAGAUGAAGGCAAUGUUAGUCACUACCUCUUCUGAGACUC